rnacentral:rRNA from 1 species
GAUGAACGCUGGCGGCGUGCCUAAUACAUGCAAGUCGAGCGAACAGACGAGGAGCUUGCUCCUCUGACGUUAGCGGCGGACGGGUGAGUAAUACGUGGAUAACUUACCUAUAAGACUGGGAUAACUUCGGGAAACCGGAGCUAAUAUCGGAUAAUAUAUUGAACCGCAUGGUUCAAUAGUGAAAGACGGUUUUGCUGUCACUUAUAGAUGGAUCCGCGCCGCAUUAGCUAGAUGGUAAGGUAACGGCUUACCAAGGCAACGAUGCGUAGCCGACCUGAGAGGGUGAUCGGCCACACUGGAACUGAGACACGGUCCAGACUCCUACGGGAGGCAGCAGUAGGGAAUCUUCCGCAAUGGGCGAAAGCCUGACGGAGCAACGCCGCGUGAGUGAUGAAGGUCUUCGGAUCGUAAAGCUCUGUUAGUAGGGAAGAACAAAUGUAUGAGUAACUAUGCACGUCUUGACGGUACCUAAUCAGAAAGCCACGGCUAACUACGUG